rnacentral:rRNA from 1 species
UGGCUUAGAAGCAGCCAUCAUUUAAAGAAAGCGUAAUAGCUCACUGGUCGAGUCGGCCUGCGCGGAAGAUGUAACGGGGCUAAACCAUGCACCGAAGCUGCGGCAGCGACGCUUAGGCGUUGUUGGGUAGGGGAGCGUUCUGUAAGCCGUUGAAGGUGGCCUGUGAGGGUUGCUGGAGGUAUCAGAAGUGCGAAUGCUGACAUAAGUAACGAUAAAGCGGGUGAAAAGCCCGCUCGCCGGAAGACCAAGGGUUCCUGUCCAACGUUAAUCGGGGCAGGGUGAGUCGACCCCUAAGGCGAGGCUGAAAAGCGUAGUCGAUGGGAAACAGGUUAAUAUUCCUGUACUUGGUGUUACUGCGAAGGGGGGACGGAGAAGGCUAGGCUAGCCGGGCGACGGUUGUCCCGGUUUAAGCGUGUAGGGGGUGUGACCUGGUAAAUCCGGUUGCAUAUCAACCCUGAGGCGUGAUGACGAUGCACUACGGUGCAGAAGUAGUUGAUGCCCUGCUUCCAGGAAAAGCCUCUAAGCUCUAGGUAACAUUGAAUCGUACCCCAAACCGACACAGGUGGUCAGGUAGAGAAUACCAAGGCGCUUGAGAGAACUCGGGUGAAGGAACUAGGCAAAAUGGUGCCGUAACUUCGGGAGAAGGCACG